CUAAACUUCAUAACUGUAAAGUGAGGUCUUUUAAUGAAUAUUAGGUAUCUGUGUUGCAAAAUAGCUUAAGAUCAUACAGAGUCUUGACAACUGUACCAUUCAUUGGCUUAGAAGAAGAAAAUGAGGUGUGAGCUCUUCAUUUCUGUCUGAAAUAGCAUCAUCACCAAGAUACGCCAUGGCUGCAAUCAGAAGCUCUCUCCAAAAGUAAGCAAGUAACAGAGCUGCAAUUUAGAAUGUUUGCCUCAAUACCAAUAAAAGUCCUGAUCUGCUGCUGCAUGUGCAACCUGUAAAUAUCAGUUAGGCACUUGGAAACAUCAGAAAUAGGUUGACUUGUCAGCGGGACAGUUGAGAGGACCUCUGCGGCAGGGAGGUAAAAGAAGACCACAGAAACUGAUGGUAUUAAGU
rnacentral:lncRNA from 1 species